UAAUUAAACAAUUAAAACCACACAUACAUCGACACAUAGUCCGGGGUGCCUAGUGUUAAACACAGGGUGUUGAACACGGGUCGGGUUAUGGGAUGUAUGGAGGCCUAAC
rnacentral:sRNA from 1 species